rnacentral:rRNA from 1 species
UACGUAGGCAGCGAGCGUUGUUCGGAGUUACUGGGCGUAAAGCGUGCGUAGGCGGUUGUCUAAGUUUGGUGUGAAAUCUCCUGCUUAACUGGGAGGGUGCGCCGAAAACUGGGUGACUGGAGUGUCGGAGAGGUAAGCGGAAUUCCUGGUGUAGCGGUGAAAUGCGUAGAGAUCAGGAGGAACACCGAUGGCGAAGGCAGGUCUCUGGGCCGAUACUGACGUGAGGAGCGAAAGCGUGGGGAGCGAACAGG